rnacentral:tRNA from 1 species
GCAGCUAUAGUUCAAUUGGUAGAAUUAUCGCCUUCCAAGCGAAGUAUACUGAUUCGAGUUCAAUUGGCUGCA